GACGAACGCUGGCGGCGUGCCUAAUACAUGCAAGUAGAACGCUGAAGAGAGGAGCUUGCUCUUCUUGGAUGAGUUGCGAACGGGUGAGUAACGCGUAGGUAACCUGCCUUGUAGCGGGGGAUAACUAUUGGAAACGAUAGCUAAUACCGCAUAACAAUGGAUGACACAUGUCAUUUAUUUGAAAGGGGCAAUUGCUCCACUACAAGAUGGACCUGCGUUGUAUUAGCUAGUAGGUGAGGUAAUGGCUCACCUAGGCGACGAUACAUAGCCGACCUGAGAGGGUGAUCGGCCACACUGGGACUGGGACACGGCCCAGGCUCCUACGGGAGGCAGCAGUAGGGAAUCUUCGGCAAUGGGGGCAACCCUGACCGAGCAACGCCGCGUGAGUGAAGGAGGUUUUCGGAUCGUAAAGCUCUGUUGUAAGUCAAGAACGGGUGUGAGAGUGGAAAGUUCACACUGUGACGGUAGCUUACCAGAAAGGGACGGCUAACUACGUG
rnacentral:rRNA from 1 species